rnacentral:sRNA from 2 species
CAGACACCUCGUACGGUGAGGCGUCUUCACGGACACAGGCCACUGAUCCCACGCGUCGAGAGACGCUCCGGAUCACGAAAGGUCUCCCCGGCCCACAGGGGUGACCCCAGGUGGCUUCCCCGCGGAUUCGCCGGGGAUCACGCCGUGAAGUGCCAAAGCUCUGACGAGUUGGGGAGCGCC